UACAGAGGUCUCAAGCGUUGUUCGGAUUCAUUGGGCGUAAAGGGUGUGUAGGUGGCGCGCUAAGUCGGGUGUGAAAUUUCGGAGCUUAACUCCGAAACUGCAUUCGAUACUGGCGUGCUUGAGGACUGGAGAGGAGACUGGAAUUUACGGUGUAGCGGUGAAAUGCGUAGAUAUCGUAAGGAAGACCAGUGGCGAAGGCGGGUCUCUGGGCCAUAACUGACGCUGAGAAGCGAAAGCAUGGGGAGCGAACAGG
rnacentral:rRNA from 1 species